GGGAGGGUGGUCUAGUUUGGUAUGAUACUCGGUUCGGAUCCGAGUGGUUGAGGGUUCAAAUCCCUCCUCUCCCA
rnacentral:tRNA from 1 species